CUGCAGGCUCUACUCUUGGUGGUGGCCUUCCAUCAAUUCCUUUAAGUUUCAGCCUUGUGAUCAUACUCCCCCUGAAAACCCAAAAACUUUGAUUUCUCAUAAGGUGCCAGCGGAGUCCUAUAAGCAACAUCCGUCGAUCCCUAGUCGACAUCGUUUAUGGUUGAGAUUAGGACCAUAUCUGAUCAUCUUCGAGCCCCCAACUUUCAUUUUUGAUUAAUGAAAACAUCCUUGGAAAAUGCUUUUGCAGUUGUUCAUCUUUCAUAAACCCAAGAAUUUCAUCACUGACUAUGAAAUAGGAUUGUCUCCAAUUUUACCUGUUAAUCAUUACUUCGAUCCCGAAGGCCAACGUAAUAGGACCGAAAUCCUAUAAUGUUAUCCAAUGCUAAAGUAUCCAGAGCAUAGGCUUACUUUGAGUACUCUAAUUUCUUCAAAGUAAUAGCACCGGAGGCACGACCCAAC
rnacentral:lncRNA from 1 species